CUCCGACCGCUCCGUCAUCUUGCAUGGAGAGAACGCCACGACGCUCAAUGUUACUCAUCAGAAGCCUCAACAUGGUGUGGGGAGGAGCUCCGACUGCUCCGUCGUCUUGCAUGGAGAGAACGCCACGACGCUCAAUGUUACUCAUCGGAAGCCUCAAUGUAGUGCGGGGAGGAGCUCCGUCGCCCCCUUGCACGGAGAGAAGGCCACGACGCU